UACUUCCGGUAUACUUCCGGAAAAUUUGCAUAAAACUAGCAAGUGAGCUUUGUUCUCUGUAGAAUUCUAAAGACUCCAUGCUAAUUUUAAGCAAAGAGAAAUUGUCUUUUUGAUUACUUUUAUGACUUGUGACUAUCUAAGGCAAGUCCUUUAGAUAUUGAGUUUGGAAUGUGUCAAGUAGAUGGCGUGAAAGAAUGUUGUUUGUUGUGUCAGAUAUGGGCUUAUGACGUCAAAAGUUCAGCCACAUCUUCUUCGAAAAUUACUAAUGAAUUCGUUGGAGAAAAUGUGAAAGGUUCAUGAAGCCUGUACUGUCAACAAUUGUGAAUCCUGGUAUCCUAACUGAAUAUGUUAUCCAAAUGACAGAGUGGGAAAGCUGCUGGAGUAAUCCAUCCCCAAUUGAUUCAUUUCGUGUCAGCUUGUGAAAGGCGUGAGGAAUUCAAAUUUAGCUGCUGCGUGCUGUCUGCAAGCAAGCAAUCCAAUUGGCGAUCGCUAGGUGGCGCGAGUGUCUUCAGGGAUCCAAUUCGGCCAUUUUGUUCCUUGACGCAGCAGAAGUGGGAUGCCGGUCGUGACGUUUCCCCUAAUGAAAAUGUAAAGGUGAUUUAAAUACCACUUUGUCAAGCAAUCUAACUCGGAAGCCUGUCCAUUUUGCCGAAAUGUCGUGCCUCGUGUGUCUUGCUGCCAGCGUACGUCGCGUCCCUUGCAAAAGCAAAAUUUGAUGCCAACCAACUAUAACUUCCUUUGUAAAAUUUGAGAUAUCGGAGAGAUCUGUUGGGCUGCAUAGUUUUGUCCUACUCCUGGUCCGCUGUUGGUUACCUUGUUGCAGCCAGGUGGUGAAAGAUGUGAUGGAGACUAAUUUAACUGUUGUAUGCAGUGUGUGGUUCCAGUGUUAUCAAGAAGUAGCUGUGCUGGCGGUAUCCUGAACUAGCCUGAAGUUGCCAGUGAUAUCCGGGUCUCUGACUUUAAAUAUAUUUUCUGUUUGCAUUUGUGUAUUUCUCUCUGCCAAUGCUAUCCUGUGUUUGAAAUCUUUUCUCAUUCGUGUUUUUUGCUCUACCAGUGAUUUCCUGUGUUGCAGUCUUGAAAUAGUUUCAUUGUCGUCUUUGGCGUUUUUAUUGUGCAGUAUACGAUUGAGGCAACCUGAUCUAUGUCAGGUUUGACUCAGUCGACAACUGCUAGAUUAAAUUCCGGCUUUCUGCACCAACAAAAUAAUAACGGCAUAUGUUGUUAUCGCGGUUGGGAAAGUCACAGGCCCCCCCCUCCCUGGGGGCCAUGAAAUAUACAUGUUUUAUGUUUAUAAAAAAUAAAAAAAUAAAAUACAUAUUAAAAGGAA